AUUGAACGCUGGCGGCAGGCCUAACACAUGCAAGUCGAGCGGAUGAAGGGAGCUUGCUCCUGGAUUCAGCGGCGGACGGGUGAGUAAUGCCUAGGAAUCUGCCUGGUCGUGGGGGAUAACGUCCGGAAACGGGCGCUAAUACCGCAUACGUCCUGAGGGAGAAAGUGGGGGAUCUUCGGACCUCACGCUAUCAGAUGAGCCUAGGUCGGAUUAGCUAGUUGGUGGGGUAAAGGCCUACCAAGGCGUCGAUCCGUAACUGGUCUGAGAGGAUGAUCAGUCACACUGGAACUGAGACACGGUACAGACUCCUACGGGAGGCAGCAGUGGGGAAUAUUGGACAAUGGGCGAAAGCCUGAUCCAGACAUGCCGCGUGUGUGAAGAAGGUCUUCGGAUUGUAAAGCACUUUAAGUUGGGAGGAAGGGCAGUAAGUUAAUACCUUGCUGUUUUGACGUUACCAACAGAAUAAGCACCGGCUAACUUCGUG
rnacentral:rRNA from 1 species